UGGGGAAUAUUGCACAAUGGGCGCAAGCCUGAUGCAGCCAUGCCGCGUGUAUGAAGAAGGCCUUCGGGUUGUAAAGUACUUUCAGCGGGGAGGAAGGGAGUAAAGUUAAUACCUUUGCUCAUUGACGUUACCCGCAGAAGAAGCACCGGCUAACUCCGUGCCAGCAGCCGCGGUAAUACGGAGGGUGCAAGCGUUAAUCGGAAUUACUGGGCGUAAAGCGCACGCAGGCGGUUGAUUGAGUCAGAUGUGAAAUCCCCGAGCUUAACCCGGGAAUUGCAUCUGAUACUGGUCAGCUAGAGUCUUGUAGAGGGGGGUAGAAUUCCAUGUGUAGCGGUGAAAUGCGUAGAGAUGUGGAGGAAUACCGGUGGCGAAGGCGGCCCCCUGGACAAAGACUGACGCUCAGGUGCGAAAGCGUGGGGAGCAAACAGG
rnacentral:rRNA from 1 species